rnacentral:rRNA from 1 species
UACGUAGGGGGCAAGCGUUGUCCGGAUUUAUUGGGCGUAAAGAGCGUGUAGGCGGCUUGGUAGGUCCGCUGUGAAAACUCGAGGCUCAACCUCGAGAUGUCGGCGGAAACCACUUGGCUAGAGUCCGGAAGAGGAGAGUGGAAUUCCCGGUGUAGCGGUGAAAUGCGCAGAUAUCGGGAAGAACACCUAUGGCGAAGGCAGCUCUCUGGGCCACUACUGACGCUGAGACGCGAAAGCGUGGGGAGCGAACAGG